CCAACCUCGCCUUCCCUCAUUUCUUCCCAUCCCUCAGAGAGAAAGAGAGAGAGAGAGAUGGUGUGGUUCCAGUGUGAAGACUGUGGGGAAAACCUCAAGAAACCAAAGUUGCCCGGGCAUUUCAGAAUCUGCUCUGCUUCGAAGCUUUCAUGUAUUGAUUGUGGUACAACAUUCAACCAGCAAACUGUUCAAGGACAUACACAGUGUGUUACGGAAAUGGAGAAAUAUGGCCCAAAAACUCAAGCGAAAACCCCUACUAGUUCACAAACGAAGACCAAGGCUGAACAGAAGCAAGAUCUAGAUUUUGAUGUCAAUGCUGGAUUGUCCUCUCGCCCACCUUGGUUUUGCAGCCUAUGCAAUACGCAGGUAACAAGUAAGCAGACAUUAUUGAGCCAUGCCGAGGGAAAGAAGCACAAGGCAAAAGCACGAGCCUUCCAUUAUGCAAACAAACCUCCUAAUGAAAGUCAAUCAACUCUAAGUGAGAAGAGUUGUGCUAAUGGGCAUGCAGAAGUGGCUAAUGGCCUGGAGAAAGUUGAUCAUCCAAAAUCUGCUGCUACUCCAGAAAAGGAUAUGGAAAAUCCACCUGAAAGGCAUAAAAGAAAACUGGAACCAGAAAAUGGUGCUCCAGAAACUAAAGAUGGACAGGAAUCAGACCUGAAACCUGAUAAUGCAACUGUGGAAGAGAUCCUGAAGAAAAGAAAAAGUUCAGAUGCUAAUGUGUUAAAUAAGGAGCACAAUGAUAAGAUGAGUAAUCUUGAAAAUGGACAAAACCUGCAUAUUAAGUGGAAGAAGUUGAUUCGGACAAUCUUGAAGCAGUUAAUUUCAGAGUCCCAAUGGAGCCCUCAAACUGAAGAAGCUGCAAAAGCUUGUCAUCAAAUCGCUUGAAGCUUCUGGGGUUGCAAAUGAUGACAAGGGCCAUCUCAAAAGCUUGAUGCUGGAUAAGAUCAGUUCUAGUUCCCACUUUGAGCUCAAUGGGAAGUUGGUUCAUUUGGUGCCGAAAUGUAGUUGAAUUGGAUUUAUUGCGCUACUGCCCACCGUGGCUGCCAAUUCCGUUGACGGCUAUAAGCAACGGCAACUGUUAGCAAGUGCUUGUCCAGACGCCGUUCGUUUGACGCAGGCAGUGCGAGUUUUCCCGAUGCAGGAAAGAAAUGGCAAAGAGAAAAGCGUCUCCAUUCUCCUAUAGCUUUGUUAUUUGAGGAACUCCCUCGUGGGGAAGGAAAAAUAGGCAUCUUGUUUGAGUCUCUCUCUCUCCCCCUCUCUCUGAGGUGCGAAUGCGCCAGUUUUGUGCUCAAAGGUGCUCGGCCUGUUAUUGUGUGUUGAGUAUUCUUAUUGGAAAAAAGCCCUUCUUCAAUGAAGACGGUCGUGUUUAGAGGAGAAAUAUGUUCAAUUGUGUACCUUUGAGUUGCUUUCUUGACGAAAAGUGGCAGUCUUCAAUGAACUUGUUCCUUGAGAAAUAAAUUCCACGGAUCCUCCGGUGUCACGCUUUGAUGUAAACACCAUCAUGAGCAAGCACAAAGUUUGAGAAUAGAACGUGGACAUUGAUUCAAGUUCCUCACUUUA